rnacentral:misc_RNA from 1 species
AAGUCGUAACAAGGUUUCCGUAGGUGAACCUGCGGAAGGAUCAUUAUAGAGAAUGGGCCUUCGGGCCCCGGGGGUUCGCCUCCACCUCUUCACCCUGUGUUUACAUACCUUUGUUGCUUUGGCGGGCCUUGGGGUCUCCCCAUGCCGGCUCCGGGCUUCGGCCCUCGCCGGCGCGCGCCCGCCAGAAGCCACCAAAAUUCUGAUUUUCAAUGCAGUCUGAGCACAAAACAAAAUAAAACAAAA